rnacentral:rRNA from 1 species
UACGAAGGGGGCUAGCGUUGCUCGGAAUCACUGGGCGUAAAGCGCACGUAGGCGGAUUGCUAAGUCAGGGGUGAAAUCCUGGAGCUCAACUCCAGAACUGCCUUUGAUACUGGCAACCUUGAGUCCGGGAGAGGUGAGUGGAACUGCGAGUGUAGAGGUGAAAUGCGUAGAUAUUGGGAGGAACACCAGUGGCGAAGGCGGCUCACUGGACCGGAACUGACGCUGAGGCGCGAAAGCGUGGGGAGCAAACGGG